rnacentral:lncRNA from 1 species
AAAGGGACCAGGCCUGGGAUCGUGAAACAUCUGGGGAAACGACUCCACUCACUCACCUGCAGACUGAGAGCCCAUCUUGUACCGUGUUAUACUUUAAGAGAGUUGACUGUUGAGAUGAUGAUGAAAACGGAAGAACAACUGAGCCUAGUUGGAGGCUCUUUGAAGUCCCAGAACCUCCUCCUGGAAGCCCUCUUUGGUUAACCAGAUGGACAUCUCAGUUGCCCUCUGAGCCUGAACCAAGUGUCAGGAAGAGUUUUCUAUGGCCCUUGACUCCUUAACUCUUUGCUUAUAGCGUCUCUGCUCUCUGAUGCCUCUGCUGUCAGAGAAAGGCUGUGGUUUAAAUAUUUAUUUAUGAAUCCAUCAGCUUGGGCCAACUAGGUCCAUUUAUCACCGUUUUGACUGUGUCUAAACUGUCAUUAGUGGUGUGACUAGAAACCAGUUAAUUUCGCUGGGUGGUAAAUUCGUGGACUGAUCUCCAAACCCUCCUACUGUGCUAAUGUUGCCAAUGGAAGUUUCCAGAGGCCAGGAUCCCUGGCCAACACGUGAUCGUAAACAACAUCAGGGCCUCACAGGGAACUCACAAUUUACUGAGGUUUGCUCUGUGCCAGGUGUUUUCAUGAUCCUCCAUCCCCUUGUCGUUUAGUCCUCUUCUCUGAGUCCUCCCCAUUUUACUGAUGAGGACGGAAAUCGAGGCACACGAUUAAGCGUUUCCCUGGGUCACACAGCUAAUGAAUGGCGAGCUGGAAGUCAGUCCCAGGUCAUCAGACUCCGAAGUCCAUGGUUUUGGUGAUGAAGGUGGGCUGUGAAAUGUGUGUCUUAUUCUAUGCAUGUGAGUCCGCUGGAACCAACUUUUCCACUUGGAACACAAUCUCAGUGCCUUUCAGCAGGUAACCGGCGCCAGACCAGAUCUCCAGAGAUGGAGGUGGUCGGCCUCAGGGCCCAGCCAUGAGAAGGUGUAUGAGGAGGCAUC